UAAGGAAUAUUGCUCAAUGGGAGAAAUCCUGAAGCAGCAACGCCGCGUGGAGGAUGAAGGGUCUAUGACUUGUAAACUCCUGUAAAGAAGGAAAAAAUUCCCAUUAGAUGGGAGAUGAUGGUACUUCUGGGGUAAGCCCCGGCUAACUACGUGCCAGCAGCCGCGGUAAUACGUAGGGGGCAAGCGUUGUCCGGAUUUACUGGGUGUAAAGGGUGCUCAGGCGGAUUUGUAAGUCAGAGGUGAAAUCUUACAGCUUAACUGUGAAACUGCCUUUGAUACUGCAAGCCUAGAGUAUGGAAGAGAGUGAUGGAAUAUCUGGUGUAGCAGUGAAAUGCGUAGAUAUCAGAUAGAACACCAAUGGCGAAGGCAGUCACUUGGUCCAUUACUGACGCUAAAGCACGAAAGCGUGGGUAGCAAACA
rnacentral:rRNA from 1 species